AACGAACGCUGGCGGCAUGCCUAACACAUGCAAGUCGAACGAGACCUUCGGGUCUAGUGGCGCACGGGUGCGUAACGCGUGGGAACCUUCCCUUAGGUUCGGAAUAACUCCCCGAAAGGGGUGCUAAUACCGGAUAAUGUCUUCGGACCAAAGAUUUAUCGCCUUUGGAUGGGCCCGCGUUGGAUUAGCUAGUUGGUAGGGUAAAAGCCUACCAAGGCGACGAUCCAUAGCUGGUCUGAGAGGAUGAUCAGCCACACUGGGACUGAGACACGGCCCAGACUCCUACGGGAGGAAGCAGUGGGGAAUAUUGGACAAUGGGCGAAAGACUGAUCCAGCAAUGCCGCGUGAGUGAUGAAGGCCUUAGGGUUGUAAAGCUCUUUUACCCGGGAUGAUAAUGACAGUACCGGGAGAAUAAGCUCCGGCUAACUCCGUG
rnacentral:rRNA from 1 species